rnacentral:rRNA from 1 species
AGUGGCGGACGGGUGAGUAACACGUAAGAAUUUGCCUUUAGGAGGGGGACAACAACUAGAAAUGGUUGCUAAUACCCCAUAUGCUUUCGAGUGAAAUGGAUUUUUCCGCCUAGAGAGAAGCUUGCGGCUGAUUAGCUUGUUGGUGAGGUAAUGGCUCACCAAGGCGACGAUCAGUAUCUGGUUUGAGAGGACGAUCAGACACACUGGAACUGAGACACGGUCCAGACUCCUACGGGAGGCAGCAGUGGGGAAUUUUCCGCAAUGGGCGAAAGCCUGACGGAGCAAUACCGCGUGAGGGAUGACGGCCUAUGGGUCGUAAACCUCUUUUUUCAGGGAGGAAUCAAUGACGUGUACCUGAAGAAUAAGCAUCGGCUAACUCCGUGCCAGCAGCCGCGGUAAGACGGGGGAUGCAAGUGUUAUCCGGAAUCACUGGGCGUAAAGCGUCUGUAGGUGGUCCAAUAAGUCAACUGUUAAAUCUUGAGGCUCAACCUCAAAAUCGCAGUCGAAACUAUUAGACUAGAGUAUAGUAGGGGUAAAGGGAAUUUCCAGUGGAGCGGUGAAAUGCGUAGAGAUUGGAAAGAACACCGAUGGCGAAGGCACUUUACUGGGCUAUUACUAACACUCAGAGACGAAAGCUAGGGUAGCAAAUGGGAUUAGAUACCCCAGUAGUCCUAGCCGUAAACAAUGGAUACUAGAUGUU